rnacentral:RNase_P_RNA from 21 species
GGAGAGCGCCAGAUGAUCGUCGGCUCGUUCCGUUUCGGCGGUAGCGGGCGGGAGGAAAGUCCGGGCUCCGCAGGGCGGGAUGGUUCUUAACGGGAACCGGGGGUGACCCCAGGGACAGUGCCACAGAAAGCAAACCGCCUGUCGAAGUCGAGGCUUGGGCAGGUAAGGGUGAAACGGUGAGGUAAGAGCUCACCAGUUCCGACGGCGACGCCGGAAGCUAGGUAAACCCCAUCCGGAGCAAGGCCAAAUAGGGAAGUGUUUGAGGGCGGCCCGUCCGAGACUUCCGGGUUGGUUGCUUGAGGCCGUCGGCAACGGCGGUCCUAGAGGAAUGAUCAUCGCCCUCCGUGCGGGUAACCGGCGGGGGGAACAGGACCCGGCUUACGGUUCUCUCCGGCC